GAGAGUUACAGUACGUGAAAUUGUUAAAAGGGAAACAUUUGAAGUUAGACUUGUUAUUGUUGGUUCAACUUUUUUCUAAAAAGGUGUAUUCCAAUGGUUAACAGACCAGCAUCAAUUUUUGGGUGUUAGAUAAGGGUCUUGAGAAUGUAGCAACCUUGGUUGUGUUAUAGCUCAUGUACUUUGAUAUAAUGCUUAGGAUUGAGGAAYGCAGUGAGCUUUUUAUUAAGUGGAUCCCUAUGGGGAUCUUCUCACUACGGAUGUUGGUGUAAUAGCUUUAAAUGACCCA
rnacentral:rRNA from 1 species